rnacentral:rRNA from 1 species
ACCUACGGGGGGCAGCAGUGGGGAAUUGUUCGCAAUGGGCGCAAGCCUGACGACGCAACGCCGCGUGGAGGAUGAAGAUCUUCGGGUCGUAAACUCCUUUCGAUCGGGACGAACGGCCUUCGGGUGAAUAAUCCGGAGGAGUGACGGUACCGAGAGAAGAAGCCCCGGCUAACUCCGUGCCAGCAGCCGCGGUAAUACGGGGGGGGCAAGCGUUGUUCGGAAUUACUGGGCGUAAAGGGCUCGUAGGCGGCCAACUAAGUCAGACGUGAAAUCCCUCGGCUUAACCGAGGAAUUGCGUCUGAUACUGGAUGGCUUGAAUCCGGGAGAGGGAUGCGGAAUUCCAGGUGUAGCGGUGAAAUGCGUAGAUAUCUGGAGGAACACCGGUGGCGAAGGCGGCAUCCUGGACCGGCAUUGACGCUGAGGAGCGAAAGCCAGGGGAGCAAACGGGAUUAGAUACCCUGGU